rnacentral:rRNA from 1 species
GACGAAGGUGGCAAGCGUUGUUCGGAUUCACUGGGCAUAAAGGGCGCGUAGGCGGUUCCGAAAGUGGCAUGUGAAAUCCCCCGGCUCAACCGGGGAAGUGCGUGCCAAACUUCGGUGCUAGAGGGCGGUAGGGGGGACUGGAACUCUCGGUGGAGCGGUGAAAUGCGUAGAUAUCGAGAGGAACACCGGUGGCGAAGGCGGGUCUCUGGACAGUUCCUGACGCUGAGGCACGAAGGUCAGGGGAGCAAACGGG